rnacentral:rRNA from 1 species
GAUGAACGCUGGCGGCGUGCCUAAUACAUGCAAGUCGAGCGAACAGACGAGGAGCUUGCUCCUCUGACGUUAGCGGCGGACGGGUGAGUAACACGUGGAUAACCUACCUAUAAGACUGGGAUAACUUCGGGAAACCGGAGCUAAUACCGGAUAAUAUAUUGAACCGCGUGGUUCAAUAGUGAAAGACGGUUUUGCUGUCACUUAUAGAUGGAUCCGCGCCGCAUUAGCUAGUUGGUAAGGUAACGGCUUACCAAGGCAACGAUGCGUAGCCGACCUGAGAGGGUGAUCGGCCACACUGGAACUGCGACACGGUCCAGACUCCUACGGGAGGCAGCAGUAGGGAAUCUUCCGCAAUGGGCGAAAGCCUGACGGAGCAACGCCGCGUGAGUGAUGAAGGUCUUCGGAUCGUAAAACUCUGUUAUUAGGGAAGAACAAAUGUGUAAGUAACUAUGCACGUCUUGACGGUACCUAAUCAGAAAGCCACGGCUAACUACGUG